CCACGCACCGACGUAUGCAUUGCCACUUUUGCCUACACAUGCCGUUGCAUGCGCUAUCGAAACCACCCAUGCGGUGUCCAGCCUUUGACCGGAACUCACCAUAGAAAUCACCAGUGAUUCAGAUCCCCAACAUAUCUGUUUUAAAAACCCUGCACAUGCUACUCUUUCUCUCUCUAGACAGGCAUGAUAUAAUGAUACCCAGAUCUGGCUAUCAUGCACUGAUCUUCUUCUUUCGCCAUGCAUAGAGCUAGUCGCGCAUCGAUCUACCCUUCCUUUAUUUU
rnacentral:lncRNA from 1 species